UCUUUCAGUUUAAAGAGAGAGAGAGAGAGAGAGAGAGAGAGAGAGAGGGUGCAUUCUAGGCAAUAAGUACACUUGCUUUCGAGAUAAGUAAAAAUCUUUAACCACCUUGUGUGUUACAUUUAAAUGGAAACAUUUGUGCGACAUCCUUUGUGAGAUGAAGAUAUAUUUUCAAGGUGAAUUUUUACAUUCUAUUUUACAAAGUAAAUCGCUCAUUACAUAGUCAUGGUUAAUACAGUGUUGUUAAUACGUAUGUGUUUUAUUAUUUAAACUCUAAAUCGGGUCCUUGGUUGCGGUCGUGCAGUGAGCGAUAAUUCCGACACAACUUCCGGGUCCGCACGUUACAUUCCGCCUCAUGACACCGAGGACCAAUGAGGAUACAGGGGUUUGGUGACGUCAUAUGCGCAGACCGGCGUUCGAUUUUGUAAGGUGCGUUGAACGGCAUAGAAUCGCGUGGACUGAUCGGUGUAUUUCAGUGCAGAAUGAAAUCGUGCCGUUUUCGCACAACUCUAACUAUUAGUAUGAAAAAGUUUAAACGUGCUCUUCUUUCUGUUCAAUAAGAGUGAGCCCGAAUGAAGCAGACACCUUUAACCUUACUCGUCUUAAUGAACUGACUGAGCGCAGUCACGUCAUCAUGUGCCGAGCUGGAAUUAAAUCCCCCUGUUCCUCUGUUUGCCGUCCUGAUCAUCUGAAAGCACAAGUUUUGGUUUAGUAUCUUCAGUCACAUUUUGAAAAAGAUCUCAAUGAUUGGUUCAAAGUACCACGUUUCUCUGCCCUUGGCUGCUGGAGCCAUAUUUAUUGCCAUUCCUUAUAGCAUCUCACUUCUUACCCAGUGGGUGUAUGGAUGGCCCAACUACCCAGGAUAUCGAAAGUAUAUAGAAGCCCUAAAACCCAGGUAAAUCAAUCAAAAAUGCAUAUGUUACCAUUCUGAAUUGGCUAAUUUGUUUUUUUGUUUUUUUUUUGCCUUUGUGCUCAUUUCCAAAUACUGUAUGUAAAAUUAGUAUGUGUUGUCUCCCAAUAGGCGGAUCUACUAUGUAACCCGAGCUGUGUUGGAAACUCUGAAAUAUCUGCAAUACGGCAAACUGUACUUUCAGUGGAAAUUGUGGUACAAGAAUGUUGAUAAUCACAAACAUUAUGAGAAGGUAAACGUGGGCUCGUUAUAUAGGAAGACUGAUUGUAGUUUUGGAGUUAAUAACUUUCCCUCCAACAUUAAAUUAUUGUUACCCUAAACAAACUAAAAUGCAUUACAGGUACACUAGGCAUUAGUGUUUCCACAGUUUUCCGUUCAUUUAUGCAUUUCUGUUUUCAAAAAUUAGUUGCAUUUACACAGUCUGUUAUUAUUUGGCAGUAAAACACCCAAACAGUAUGAAUGUGGCACUCAAUUAAUUCGGCAUGUUGUUAAACUUGAUUGUGACAUAGUGUUUGGAUUUAUGAACAAAGCAGGCAACAGUUAUAUUUGUGGUACCAGUUGUGUUCACAAUAUGACAGUCCAGUGUAUUUUAUAUUAAAUUUGCUAAGGUAUUUUUUUGGGGGGGGGUUGGUUGAUAUACAGUCAUCUUUGUUGGUCUUACCCUU
ensembl:lncRNA